rnacentral:rRNA from 1 species
CAUCGGGACAUGUCCCAGUAGUGGGGGGAUAUACCCGGCGAAAGUCCGCAUUAAUACCGCAUCGGAUGUGCGGAUGAAAGCGGGGGGACCAUUCGGGCCUCGCCAUAUAGGGUUGUCCGAUGUCUGAUGGUUCAGUUGGUGGGGUAAAGGCCUUUCCAUAGCGUGGGAUCAGUACGUGGUCUGAGAGGACGACCACAGCACCCUGGCCUGAGAGGCGCGUCCCACACUCUUGGCGGGAGGCAGCAGUGGGGAAUUUUUGCGGAAGGCAGCAAUGGGGAAUCAGCAACAAUGGSGUGUGUGAAGAAGGCCUUCGGGUUGUAAAACCGAUUUGUCCGGAAAGAAAUCCUUGACUUUUAUUCAAUCGGGGGAAGGCGGUUCCUUAAGAAUAAGCCCCCGCUAACUUCGUGCCCGCAGCCCCGGUAAUUCGUAGGGGGCGAACGUUAAUCGGAAUUACUGGGGGGAAAAGGUGGGCAGGCGGUUUUUUAAAACCAAUGUGAAAUCCCCGGGCUCCACCUGGAGUAAGCAUUGGUGACUGUCAGGCUAGAGUACGGCAGAGGGGGGUAGAAUUCCUAGUGUAGCAGUGAAAUGCGUAGAUAUGUGGAGGAAUACCAAUGGCGAAGGCAGCUCCCUGGGCCRAUACUGACGCUCAUGCACGAAAGCGUGGGGAGCAAACAGGAUUAGAUACCCUGGUAGUCCACGCCCUAAACGAUGUCAAUUAGUUUUGGGGAUUCCUUUCCUUAGUAACUAGCUAA